UACGGAGGGUGCAAGCGUUAUCCGGAUUUACUGGGUUUAAAGGGUGCGUAGGUGGGCAGUUAAGUCAGUGGUGAAAUCUCCGAGCUUAACUCGGAAACUGCCAUUGAUACUAUCUGUCUUGAAUAUCCUGGAGGUGAGCGGAAUAUGUCAUGUAGCGGUGAAAUGCUUAGAUAUGACAUAGAACACCAAUUGCGAAGGCAGCUCACUACGGGAUUAUUGACACUGAGGCACGAAGGCGUGGGGAUCAAACAGG
rnacentral:rRNA from 1 species